rnacentral:rRNA from 1 species
GACGGAGGAUGCAAGCGUUAUCCGGAAUGAUUGGGCGUAAAGCGUCCGCAGGUGGCAGUUCAAGUCUGCUGUCAAAGACCGGGGCUUAACUUCGGAAAGGCAGUGGAAACUGAACAGCUAGAGUAUGGUAGGGGCAGAGGGAAUUCCUGGUGUAGCGGUGAAAUGCGUAGAGAUCAGGAAGAACAUCGGUGGCGAAGGCGCUCUGCUGGACCAUAACUGACACUCAGGGACGAAAGCGAGGGGAGCGAACAGG